rnacentral:rRNA from 1 species
ACCUGACUGCUAUCGGAUUGAUACUAAGCCAUGCGAGUCAUUGUAGCAAUACAAGGCAGACGGCUCAGUAACGCGUAGUCAAUCUACCCUAUGGACGGGAAUAACCUCGGGAAACUGAGAAUAAUGCCCGAUAGAACAUUAUGCCUGGAAUGGUUUAUGUUUCAAAUGAUUUAUCGCCAUAGGAUGGGACUGCGGCCUAUCAGUUUGUUGGUGAGGUAAUGGCCCACCAAGACUAUUACAGGUACGGGCUCUGAGAGGAGUAGCCCGGAGAUGGGUACUGAGACACGGACCCAGGCCCUAUGGGGCGCAGCAGGCGAGAAAACUUUGCAAUGUGCGAAAGCACGACAAGGUUAAUCCGAGUGGUUUCUGCUAAAGAAACCUUUUGUCAGUCCUAGAAACACUAACGAAUAAGGGGUGGGCAAGUUCUGGUGUCAGCCGCCGCGGUAAAACCAGCACCUCAAGUGGUCAGGAUGAUUAUUGGGCCUAAAGCAUCCGUAGCUCGUUUUGUAAGUUUUCGGUUAAAUCCAUGCGCUUAACGUAUGGGCUGCCGGGAAUACUGCAUAACUAGGAAGUGGGAGAGGUAGACGGUACUCGGUAGGAAGGGGUAAAAUCCUUUGAUCUAUUGAUGACCACCUGUGGCGAAGGCGGUCUACCAGAACACGUUCGACGGUGAGGGAUGAAAGCUGGGGGAGCAAACCGGAUUAGAUACCCGGGUAGUCCCAGCUGUAAACUAUGCAAACUCAGUGAUGCAUUGGCUUGUGGCCAAUGCAGUGCUGCAGGGAAGCCGUUAAGUUUGCCGCCUGGGAAGUACGUACGCAAGUAUGAAACUUAAAGGAAUUGGCGGGGGAGCACCACAAGGGGUGAAGCCUGCGGUUCAAUUGGA